rnacentral:rRNA from 2 species
UGGAUUAAGAGCUUGCUCUUAUGAAGUUAGCGGCGGACGGGUGAGUAACACGUGGGUAACCUGCCCAUAAGACUGGGAUAACUCCGGGAAACCGGGGCUAAUACCGGAUAAUAUUUUGAACUGCAUGGUUCGAAAUUGAAAGGCGGCUUCGGCUGUCACUUAUGGAUGGACCCGCGUCGCAUUAGCUAGUUGGUGAGGUAACGGCUCACCAAGGCAACGAUGCGUAGCCGACCUGAGAGGGUGAUCGGCCACACUGGGACUGAGACACGGCCCAGACUCCUACGGGAGGCAGCAGUAGGGAAUCUUCCGCAAUGGACGAAAGUCUGACGGAGCAACGCCGCGUGAGUGAUGAAGGCUUUCGGGUCGUAAAACUCUGUUGUUAGGGAAGAACAAGUGCUAGUUGAAUAAGCUGGCACCUUGACGGUACCUAACCAGAAAGCCACGGCUAACUACGUGCCAGCAGCCGCGGUAAUACGUAGGUGGCAAGCGUUAUCCGGAAUUAUUGGGCGUAAAGCGCGCGCAGGUGGUUUCUUAAGUCUGAUGUGAAAGCCCACGGCUCAACCGUGGAGGGUCAUUGGAAACUGGGAGACUUGAGUGCAGAAGAGGAAAGUGGAAUUCCAUGUGUAGCGGUGAAAUGCGUAGAGAUAUGGAGGAACACCAGUGGCGAAAGCGACUUUCUGGUCUGUAACUGACACUGAGGCGCGAAAGCGUGGGGAGCAAACAGGAUUAGA